ACCAUCCAUUUUCUCAUCUUGGCUCUUCUUCAAGUUGUCCAUCUCUUCCUGAUGCUUCCUUUUCAAUUCAGUAAUUUCUUGUUGCUGAGAUUCAAGCUGUUCAGCAAGUUGAUGCUGCUUACUUGUAUUAUUCUCUUUCUCUACUCUUAGCUGAUCACGCAGCUCUUACACCUCCAUAGAUGAAGUAGUAUUGCCAGAUUUUUUAUU
rnacentral:lncRNA from 1 species